UGGCUGUCGCAAGAUGCUCUAAUUCCCC
rnacentral:piRNA from 1 species